rnacentral:rRNA from 1 species
CCAAUAGCGUAUAUUAAAGUUGUUGCAGUUAAAAAGCUCGUAGUUGAAUUUCGGGAUCAAUAUAUCGGUCGUGCCAUCGGUACGUACUGGUAUCAUUGGUUUCUCCUUUCUGACGAACCAUGAUGUCAUUAAUUUGGUGUUAUGGGAAGUUAGGACUGUUACUUUGAAAAAAUUAGAGUGUUUAAAGCAGGCUUUAGCUUGAAUACAUUAGCAUGGAAUAAUGAAAUAGGACGUUUGAUUCUAUUUUGUUGGUUUCUAGGAUCGACGUAAUGAUUAAUAGGGAUAGUUGGGGGCAUUAGUAUUCAAUUGUCAGAGGUGAAAUUCUUGGAUUUAUUGAAGACUAACUACUGCGAAAGCAUUUGCCAAGGAUGUUUUCAUUAAUCAAGAACGAAAGUUAGGGGAUCGAAGACGAUCAGAUACCGUCGUAGUCUUAACCAUAAACUAUGCCGACUAGGGAUCGGAUGACGUUAAUUUUUUAAUGACUCAUUCGGCGCCUUACG